rnacentral:misc_RNA from 1 species
CUUCCUCUUGAAUUCUAUGUCCUUAAUCCACCUUAUGCCAGAGCCUCUCUCCACUGUAAUGGGCAAAAGCCCCUCAUCAAUAGGCAGAGCCAAAUCCUCAGCUAUUGGCAAAGCCCCUCUCUACAAUGGGCAACAGCCUCACUCCAUGAGCUGAAAGCUACUCUUUUCAAUGGACAAAAAAUCAAAUAACCCUUUCUACAAUUUUUCUAUUUAUAGUGUUAAUUCCCUCAAUCCUAAUC